rnacentral:rRNA from 1 species
UAGGGAAUCUUCGGCAAUGGACGGAANUCUGGACCGAGCAACCNCACGUGAGUGAAGAAGGUUUUCGGAUCGUAAAGCUCUGUUGUAAGAGAAGAACGAGUGUGAGAGUGGAAAGUUCACACUGUGACGGUAUCUUACCAGAAAGGGACGGCUAACUACGUGCCAGCAGCCGCGGUAAUACGUAGGUCCCGAGCGUUGUCCGGAUUUAUUGGGCGUAAAGCGAGCGCAGGCGGUUAGAUAAGUCUGAAGUUAAAGGCUGUGGCUUAACCAUAGUACGCUUUGGAAACUGUUUAACUUGAGUGCAAGAGGGGAGAGUGGAAUUCCAUGUGUAGCGGUGAAAUGCGUAGAUAUAUGGAGGAACACCGGUGGCGAAAGCGGCUCUCUGGCUUGUAACUGACGCUGAGGCUCGAAAGCGUGGGGAGCAAACAGGAUUAGAUACCCUGGUAGUCCACGCCGUAAACGAUGAGUGCUAGGUGUUAGACCCUUUCCGGGGUUUAGUGCCGCAGCUAACGCAUUAAGCGCUCCGCCUGGGGAGUACGACCGCAAGUUG